rnacentral:rRNA from 1 species
UAUUAUUUUAUGUGUAAUAGGAUAUUUUAAGUAGUAAUAGUUAAGAUCUAUAAACUUAAAGAAUUUGGCGGUGUUUUAGUCUUUUCAGAGGAAUCUGUUCUUUAAUUGAUAAUACACGAUUGGUGAAAUUUAAUUAAAUUGUUUGUAUACCGCCGUCAUAAGAAUAUUUUUAUAAGAAUGUAAAUUUUCUUGAUUUUAAAUUAAAUAAUAUGUCAGGUCAAGGUGCAGCUUAUAAUUAAAGUUGAAAUGGAUUACAAUAAAUUUAUUUAUAUGAAUAGGUAAUUUAAAAUGUUUAAUUGAAGGUGGAUUUGAUUGUAAAAUUGUUUAAAUUAAUAUUUUGAUUAUGGCUCUAGAAUGUGUACAUAUCGCCCGUCGCUCUCAUUUUAGGUGAG